rnacentral:ncRNA from 1 species
UCAGAUUGAGGUCUGCAAUUCGACCUCAUGAAGUCGGAAUCGCUAGUAAUCGCAGGUCAGCUAUACUGCGGUGAAUACGUUCUCGAGUCUUGUACUCACCGCCCGUCAACUCAAGGGAGCCGGGAGUAGAUGAAGCCCGCGAUUUUCGCGGAUCAGUCUAAGCUCGGUGACAGGGAGUAAGUCGUAACAAGGCACGGCUAGCGGAAGCUGGUCGUGGAGUUUAAUUUUU